AUACGUAGGGGGCGAGCGUUAUCCGGAAUUAUUGGGCGUAAAGAGUACGUAGGCUGUUCUGUAAGCGUGAGGUGAAAGCCCGGGGCUUAACUCCGGUAAGCCUUUCGAACUGCAGGACUUGAGUGCUGGAGGGGAAAGUGGAAUUCCUAGUGUAGCGGUGAAAUGCGUAGAUAUUAGGAGGAACACCAGUGGCGAAGGCGACUUUCUGGACAGUAACUGACGCUGAGGUACGAAAGCGUGGGGAGCAAACAGGAUUAGAUACCCGGGUAGUCCACGCCGUAAACGAUGAGCACUAAGUGUCGGAUGAAUUUUCGGCGCUGCAGUUAACACAAUAAGCGCUCCGCCUGGGGAGUACGGUCGCAAGACUGAAACUCAAAGGAAUUGACGGGG
rnacentral:rRNA from 1 species